GAAUAACUGGGCGUAAAGGGCACGCAGGCGGUUAUUUAAGUGAGGUGUGAAAGCCCCGGGCUUAACCUGGGAAUUGCAUUUCAGACUGGGUAACUAGAGUACUUUAGGGAGGGGUAGAAUUUCCACGUGUAGCGGUGAAAUGCGUAGAGAUGUGGAGGAAUACCGAAGGCGAAGGCAGCCCCUUGGGAAUGUACUGACGCUCAUGUGCGAAAGCGUGGGGAGCAAACAGGAUUAGAUACCCUGGUAGUCCACGCUGUAAACGCUGUCGAUUUGGGGGUUGGGGUUUAACUCUGGCGCCCGUAGCUAACGUGAUAAAUCGACCGCCUGGGGAGUACGGCCGCAAGGUUAAAACUCAAAUGAAUUGACGGGGGCCCGCACAAGCGGUGGAGCAUGUGGUUUAAUUCGAUGCAACGCGAAGAACCUUACCUACUCUUGACAUCCUAAGAAGAGCUCAGAGAUGAGCUUGUGCCUUCGGGAACUUAGAGAUAGGUGCUGCAUGGCU
rnacentral:rRNA from 1 species